AGAGUUUGAUCAUGGCUCAGAUUGAACGCUGGCGGUAUGCUUAACACAUGCAAGUCGAACGGUAACAUGAAAAAGCUUGCUUUCUUGAUGACGAGUGGCGGACGGGUGAGUAACACGUAGGAAUCUACCGAGUAGCGGGGGAUAGCCCGGAGAAAUCCGGAUUAAUACCGCAUGUGCACUUCGGUGUAAAGAGGGCCUCUUCUUGAAAGCUCUCACUAUUCGAUGAGCCUGCGUCAGAUUAGCUUGUUGGUGGGGUAAUGGCCUACCAAGGCGACGAUCUGUAGCUGGUCUGAGAGGAUGAUCAGCCACACUGGGACUGAGACGCGGCCCAGACUCCUACGGGAGGCAGCAGUGGGGAAUAUUGGACAAUGGGCGCAAGCCUGAUCCAGCAAUACCGCGUGUGUGAAGAAGGCCUUCGGGUUGUAAAGCACUUUCAAUAGGGAGGAAGGCUUGAUGGUUAAUACCCAUUGAGAUUGACGUUACCUAUAGAAGAAGCACCGGCUAACUCCGUGCCAGCAGCCGCGGUAAUACGGAGGGUGCAAGCGUUAAUCGGAAUUACUGGGCGUAAAGCGCGCGUAGGCGGAUGAUUAAGUCAGAUGUGAAAGCCCCGGGCUCAACCUGGGAACUGCAUUUGAGACUGGUCGUCUAGAGUACAGAAGAGGGGGGUGGAAUUCCAGGUGUAGCGGUGAAAUGCGUUGAGAUCUGGAGGACAUCAGUGGC
rnacentral:rRNA from 1 species